AGUAUCCUUUUAGCUCACUUACGUGUAGCAUGAUUUGUGGGAAACUGUGAUAUUAGUAUGACGAUUCUGUGUACAUGUAUAUACAAGUAGCAUGUGUCAUUUAUCAUUCAGGUGAAUGGAUCUCUCCAACUGUUACUGGAGACAGACCACCUCCUAUUAGUGCCUUCACUUUGACAUCAAUAGCUAACAACAGUGCUAUACUGUUUGGUGGUUUCACUGCUAAUGGAACGAGUGACAAACUGAUAUAUCAAAAAUAUCUAAUCCAGGAGGAUCAGUAGAAUGGCCUGAGGGGAGAUGUGCUCAUACCAGUGUAUUGAUUAAUGGUACUUCAGGACCACACUUACUAGUGGUGGGUGGAUAUUAUGCCUACGAUUCUUGGAUAUAUGAUAUAAACAAGAGGAUUUGGAAGAAACUGUCUGUGCCAUUAGCUGUCAGUGAAAGAUGUCAUCAUUCUCUCUCAAUGUUGAAUGUGACACCAUCCAUUAACUGGGCAAUACAAUUUGGUGAGAGAGGAUCGGAAUGUUCAGGAAGUAUGAGAGUAAUUGAAUUGAGUAAGUAAUUACAUUAAUUGGGUGAAACCCUUAAUUACUUGUGACAUUCAUUUGUCUGUUUGUAUGAAUGUCAAGCUUGAGUGAGGCCUGCAUUUAUGUACAAGCAUGAUAUAAUGAAAACUGUGUGUAAUAACCAAACAAGAUCAAAAAUACCAUCCAAAGAUAUGAACAAGCUUAUUAGUGUAAAAUUUUCCUAUAAUUGUUUUCACCACCUUACAUGUGUACAUGGAUAGCUCAGUUUUUAUUGAGACUUAUAGAGGUUCUUUUUAUCAUAUAAUGCUUCUCGAGACAGUCUUUAUGUUCUUGUGCUGUUAGAAACUCAAUUGCUUGUCUGACAUGUAAUUCACCAUUUUUUGUUUGCAGUGGCCACACCAACAUUAUGUAAAGGGCGUAGGUGGUUGGUUGGUAAGGCAUCUUGAUUCUUAUU
rnacentral:misc_RNA from 1 species